rnacentral:rRNA from 1 species
UACAGAGGUCCCGAGCGUUGUUCGGAUUCACUGGGCGUAAAGGGUGCGUAGGUGGCGUGGUAAGUUUGAUGUGAAAGCUCAGGGCUCAACCCUGAAAUGGCAUUGAAUACUACUGUGCUGGAGGUUUGGAGGGGGGACUGGAAUUCUUGGUGUAGCAGUGAAAUGCGUAGAUAUCAAGAGGAACACCAGUGGCGAAGGCGAGUCCCUGGACAACACCUGACACUGAGGCACGAAAGCUAGGGGAGCAAACAGG